ensembl:snRNA U6 U6 spliceosomal RNA
GUGCGCACUUCAGCAGCACAUAUACUAGAAUUGGAACGAUACAGAGAAGAUGAGCAUGGCCCCUCCCUGCACAAGGAUGACAUGCAAAUUCGUGGAGUUCCGUAUUUUUUU